rnacentral:rRNA from 1 species
AUAUCAAUAAGCGGAGGAAAAGAAACCAACAGGGAUUGCCCUAGUAACGGCGAGUGAAGCGGCAACAGCUCAAAUUUGAAAUCUGGCCCUAGGCCCGAGUUGUAAUUUGCAGAGGAUGCUUUUGGCAAAGCGCUUACCGAGUCCCCUGGAACGGGGCGCCACAGAGGGUGAGAGCCCCGUAUGGUAUGACGCCGAGCCUCUGUAAAGCUCCUUCGACGAGUCGAGUAGUUUGGGAAUGCUGCUCUAAAUGGGAGGUAAAUUUCUUCUAAAGCUAAAUACCGGCCAGAGACCGAUAGCGCACAAGUAGAGUGAUCGAAAGAUGAAAAGCACUUUGAAAAGAGGGUUAAAUAGCACGUGAAAUUGUUGAAAGGGAAGCGCUCGUGACCAGACUUGCGCCGGGCGGAUCAUCCAGCGUUCUCGCUGGUGCACUCCGCCCGGCUCAGGCCAGCAUCGGUUUUCGCCGGGGGACAAAAGCUUCGGGAACGUGGCUCCCUUCGGGGAGUGUUAUAGCCCGUUGCUUAAUACCCCGGCGGGGACCGAGGACCGCGCUUCGGCAAGGAUGCUGGCGUAAUGGUCAUCAGCGACCCGUCUUGAAACACGGACCGAGGAGUCAAGCAUUAGUGCGAGUGUUUGGGUGUAAAACCCGCACGCGUAAUGAAAGUGAACGUAGGUGAGAGCUUCGGCGCAUCAUCGACCGAUCCUGAUGUUUUCGGAUGGAUUUGAGUAGGAGCAUUAACGCUUGGACCCGAAAGAUGGUGAACUAUACUUGAAUAGGGUGAAGCCAGAGGAAACUCUGGUGGAGGCUCGCAGCGGUUCUGACGUGCAAAUCGAUCGUCAAAUGUGCAGUAUG